CAGUCCAGACUCCUACGGGAGGCAGCAGUGGGGAAUAUUGCACAAUGGGCGCAAGCCUGAUGCAGCCAUGCCGCGUGUAUGAAGAAGGCCUUCGGGUUGUAAAGUACUUUCAGCGGGGAGGAAGGGAGUAAAGUUAAUACCUUUGCUCAUUGACGUUACCCGCAGAAGAAGCACCGGCUAACUCCGUGCCAGCAGCCGCGGUAAUACGGAGGGUGCAAGCGUUAAUCGGAAUUACUGGGCGUAAAGCGCACGCAGGCGGUUUGUUAAGUCAGAUGUGAAAUCCCCGGGCUCAACCUGGGAACUGCAUCUGAUACUGGCAAGCUUGAGUCUCGUAGAGGGGGGUAGAAUUCCAGGUGUAGCGGUGAAAUGCGUAGAGAUCUGGAGGAAUACCGGUGGCGAAGGCGGGCCCCCUGGACGAAGACUGACGCUCAGGUGCGAAGCGUGGGGAGCAACAGGAUUAGAUACCCUGGUAGUCCACGCCGUAAACGAUGUCGACUUGGA
rnacentral:rRNA from 1 species